GGCUCCCGGCCUUCAGCGGCUGUGGGGGUCACAGGCUCCCCCCAGCCGGGGCGAGGGGCCGAGAGCAGCAGCUGAGGAGAAUCGUGGCAGCCGCCAGAGCUGGGGUUGCUGCAUUUUCCGGCCUCAGACAAGC